rnacentral:rRNA from 1 species
UACGUAGGGUGCGAGCGUUAAUCGGAAUUACUGGGCGUAAAGCGUGCGCAGGCGGUUAUGCAAGACAGAUGUGAAAUCCCCGGGCUCAACCUGGGAACUGCAUUUGUGACUGCAUGACUAGAGUACGGCAGAGGGGGAUGGAAUUCCGCGUGUAGCAGUGAAAUGCGUAGAUAUGCGGAGGAACACCGAUGGCGAAGGCAAUCCCCUGGGCCUGUACUGACGCUCAUGCACGAAAGCGUGGGGAGCAAACAGG